CCUGAUUCAAUGAGCUGAGCAUCAGUUUGUGAGAGUUGCCACCCGGUAACAGGAUUAGCAAGUGAUGUAGAAUCUACACUUUCAAGCUGUGACUUCAAAUUGAGUAAAAUAUCAUCCGCAUUUAGAAUUAUUGGGUAUUCAGAUUGUGAUGCAACUUGUUCAGGAUUGGCUGCAGCAUUUGUGAUCACCUCGAGCAAAGACAUGGCAAAGAGUGCAAAAUACAGCAAAAGAACUGAACUGUAAGAGCAGCUCCAAACGAGAAGAGGAAAGCGAAGCGCAGCGACGAGUUGAAGACUUGAAGC
rnacentral:misc_RNA from 1 species